rnacentral:rRNA from 1 species
AGAGUUUGAUCCUGGCUCAGGAUGAACGCUGGCGGAAUGCUUUACACAUGCAAGUCGAACGGCAGCACAGGAGCUUGCUCCUGGUGGCGAGUGGCGAACGGGUGAGUAAUGCGUCGGAACGUAUCCAUUAAUGGGGGAUAACGCAGCGAAAGCUGUGCUGAUACCGCAUACGCCCCGAGGGGGAAAGCAGGGGAUCUUCGGACCUUGCGUUAUUGGAGCGGCCGACGUCUGAUUAGCUAGUUGGUGAGGUAAAGGCUCACCAAGGCGACGAUCAGUAGCUGGUCUGAGAGGAUGAUCAGCCACACUGGAACUGAGACACGGUCCAGACUCCUACGGGAGGCAGCAGUGGGGAAUUUUGGACAAUGGGCGCAAGCCUGAUCCAGCCAUUCCGCGUGAGUGAAGAAGGCCUUCGGGUUGUAAAGCUCUUUCGGCAGGGAAGAAACAGUUGAGGCUAAUAUCCUUGACCAAUGACGGUACCUGCAUAAGAAGCACCGGCUAACUACGUGCCAGCAGCCGCGGUAAUACGUAGGGUGCGAGCGUUAAUCGGAAUUACUGGGCGUAAAGCGUGCGCAGGCGGUUUUUCAAGUCUGAUGUGAAAGCCCCGGGCUUAACCUGGGAACUGCGUUGGAAACUGAAAGACUAGAGUGCGGCAGAGGGGGGUAGAAUUCCACGUGUAGCAGUGAAAUGCGUAGAUAUGUGGAGGAAUACCGAUGGCGAAGGCAGCCCCCUGGGUCGACACUGACGCUCAUGCACGAAAGCGUGGGUAGCAAACAGGAUUAGAUACCCUGGUAGUCG